UGUGUGUGUGUAUAUAUGUAUAUGUAUAUGUAUAGCCUGUGAGUGUAUAUAUAUGUGCAGUGUGGCCAUUUGUUCUUCUCAAUACAUCGUUUGCAGUUAUUUUCAUCAUCUCCAGGCUCACAAAAUUAAACAGUGCUCUUCCUGCAGAUGCUCCGGUUGAUCAGAUUCAGAUUCGUUCAAUGACGAUGAUGAUGGCCGGAGAGUAUACCGGAACCCGAUUACAUGCCAAACGUGAAGUUUCUCUCCCGCUUAGUUUCAUAUUUGGCACAUGAUCAUCGGGCUCUCGGAUACUCAAUACUGCAUGCAGCGCUAAGAUUUAGUGAAUCUGAUCCAUUCGAGUGGUAGAAAAUACUAAGUACGGAUAAAUCAAGGAGAUGCUAAUAGUACUACAGCAUGAGAUAUUUGGUACCACUUUUUUUAAUUGCAACAAUAAUUAUCUUUGAAAAAUAUAUUUUUUAUUGAAAUCGAACCUUAGAUACACAUAUAUUUAACUUAGUCGAUUGUCAAUUGAGCCACCAUUCGUUUGUAAUUUUACAUUAUUUACUUACAUACUGUUUUACUUAUUUAUAAGAUCAGCUAAAGUUGAUCUCUAUGUAGUCCAUGAUGUGGUUAAUUAGUAUAGCAAAAUCGUGAGAUUUGUCAUUAGAAAAAGUCAAAAGGGGCCAAACUUAUAGGCCCAUCAUAUUUGAUCCAUUGUUUGUA